rnacentral:rRNA from 1 species
AAUUGAAAACUUAGCCUCACACCAAAUAUCUUAAUAUACAAAACUAAACCAUUCAUAUAUGAUAGUAUGGGCGACAGAAAACCUAUAAGCGCAAUAAAUAAAGUACUGCAAAGGAAAAAUGAAAUAGAAAUUAAAUAAACCAUAAAAAUAUAACGAAGCAAGAUAAACACCUGUACCUUUUGCAUCAUGGUCUAGCAAGUCAAACCUUACAAAAAGAAUUUAGCAAGACUCCCCGAAACCAAGCGAGCUACCCCAGGGCAGUCUAAGAACGAACUCUCCUCUGUAGCAACGAGCCUGGAUAUAGCUGGUUGCUUGAGAAAGAAUUUAAGUUCACAUAAAAGCGGUUAUACCAAUAAGGAAAAACUACCUUUUUACUUUAAUCAAUUGGGUUACAGCCCAAUUAAUAAGGGAAACAACCCAAAUAAAUGAAUAAUGAUUAUAACUUUUAAGAAUUUAGAGUCCUGUAGGCCUAAAAGCAGCCACCAAAAAAGCGUUAAAGCUUAAUUCAACAAAAAUCAACUAUCCCAACAAAUAAUCUUAAUUCAAUAAAACAAUCGAGCUAAUCUAUUUAUAGAUAAACUACUACUAGAAUGAGUAAUAAGGAUAUAUCCUCUAUAAUAUAAACAUAAAUCAGAACGAACUAAUCACUGAUAAUUAAUGAAUAAAUUUACUACACAAGAAAACCUAUAACAAAAAUCAUUAACCCAACACAGGAAUAUUAAAGAAAGACUUAAAACUUAGAAAGGAACUCGGCAAACCAAGGCUUCGCCUGUUUACCAAAAACAUCGCCUUUUGAAUUAUAAACAUAAAAGGUCCUGCCUGCCCAGUGACACUUGUUUCAACGGCCGCGGUAUUAUGACCGUGCAAAGGUAGCGUAAUCACUUGUCUUUUAAAUAAAGACCAGUAUGAAUGGCAAGACGAGAGCUUAACUGUCUCCCUAAGUUGGUCAAUAAAAUUGAUUUUCCCGUGCAGAAGCGGGAAUAAUAAUAUAAGACGAGAAGACCCUGUGGAGCUUCAAACUUAAACUAACAACACAAUGCCUUAGUACCAGUUUUGGGUUGGGGCGACCGUGAGGUAAAACAUAACCCUCAAGACAAAAACUAAGAAGGACACUUCAAAUAAAUAUAAUAAUGUAAUUGACCCAAUAAUUGAUCAACGAACCAAGUUACCCCAGGGAUAACAGCGCAAUCUACUCAAAGAGCCCUUAUCGAAGAGCAGGUUUACGACCUCGAUGUUGGAUCAGGACCCCCAAAUAAUGCAACAGUUAUUAAAGGUUCGUUUGUUCAACGAUUAAAGUCCUACGUGAUCUGAGUUCAGACCGGAGCAAUCCAGGUCAGUUUCUAUCUAUAAUCUAACUUUUCUAGUACGAAAGGACCGAAAAGUUCAGGCCUAUAAAUAUUUAAGCCUCACAACAACCUCUGAAUACAAAUAAAGAGGAUAUAGAAAAUUAUAAGU